rnacentral:rRNA from 1 species
AUUGAACGCUGGCGGCAGGCUUAACACAUGCAAGUCGAACGGAGAGAGGUAGCUUGCUACUGAUCUUAGCGGCGGACGGGUGAGUAAUGCUUAGGAAUCUGCCUAUUAGUGGGGGACAACAUUUCGAAAGGAAUGCUAAUACCGCAUACGUCCUACGGGAGAAAGCAGGGGAUCUUCGGACCUUGCGCUAAUAGAUGAGCCUAAGUCGGAUUAGCUAGUUGGUGGGGUAAAGGCCUACCAAGGCGACGAUCUGUAGCGGGUCUGAGAGGAUGGUCCGCCACACUGGGACGGAGACACGGCCCAGACUCCUACGGGAGGCAGCAGUGGGGAAUCUUGGACAAUGGGCGGAAGCCUGAUCCAGCCAUGCCGCGUGUGUGAAGAAGGCCUUAUGGUUGUAAAGCACUUUAAGCGAGGAGGAGGCUACUUUAGUUAAUACCUAGAGAUAGUGGACGUUACUCGCAGAAUAAGCACCGGCUAACUCUGUGCCAGCCGCCGCCGUAACAC